rnacentral:rRNA from 1 species
ACGGAAGGCAGCAGUGAGGAAUAUUGGUCAAUGGGCGGAAGCCUGAACCAGCCAAGUCGCGUGAAGGAUGAAGGUAUUAUGUAUUGUAAACUUCUUUAGCAGUGGAGUAAUAAGGGAGUCGUGACUCCUGACGCAAGUACACUGAAAAUAAGGAUCGGCUAACUCCGUGCCAGCAGCCGCGGUAAUACGGAGGAUCCGAGCGUUAUCCGGAUUUAUUGGGUUUAAAGGGUGCGCAGGCGGCCUUGUAAGUCAGCGGUUAAAUCGUGGAGCUCAACUCCAUCCCGCCGUUGAUACUGCAGGGCUUGAUUGCGGUCGAGGUUGGCGGAAUUCGUCGUGUAGCGGUGAAAUGCAUAGAUAUGACGAAGAACACCGAUUGCGUAGGCAGCUGACCAGGCCGUAAAUGACGCUCAUGCACGAAAGUGCGGGGAUCGAACAGGAUUAGAUACCCUGGUA